rnacentral:lncRNA from 1 species
CGUGCCCAGACAUUUUGAAGCUGGGAUUGGGAUCCUGGCCUGACUGCAGAGCAAAAUACACCAUUUGGUGCAUCCUGGCACCGGCCCACAUGUGUGGCUCUGCAGAGAGGCAGCGGGCUUUUCUCAUCUCUGCCCCCGUCCGCCGCUUCUCAUUCCACCCCCACACUCCCUGGAAGAACAGGACCCAGAGUAACCCUGCAUGUGCUCGGGCUCCUAGAGUGGGGCUGAGCAGCUUUCUGUCCCACUGAGCCUCCCUUUCCAGGUUGGGGCAGGCAAGUGGAUUCGACAGGCUGCCAGAAGACUGCAAGGUCAUUGGGAGUUUUAAUCUGUGACUGUGUCAUGAAGGACAUUUGUACUCGAAUUCAUGGAGUGCCAUUCCUGAUGGGAGAGGAGGCCCAUGACAGUGACAGUCAUGCUAGUGAUCGCGGACACCACACCAUGCUGCCUUUGCCAGCUGGCUCCUUCAGCGAGUCCUCGCGCCAAGCCUGGGAGGUAGAGGUGAGGGCAGCGAGCAGCGCAGGAGUCCGGACCUGCCCAGAAGCCUGUUCCCAGUCCCUGCCGUUCCCAGUCACUGCCUCCGGGUGGCCGAGGAGGACGAGCUCUUGGUGUCUCGGCUCCACUGACUGCUUUUCUCUCUCCUUCAGAUGCUGAUCGCGUGGACAGCACCACAUUAUUGGGUAAUGCAUGCCAGGACUGUGCAAAGAGGAAGUUAGAAGAGAAUGGAAUUGAAGUUUCCAAAAAACGCACACAAUCAGAUACUGGUAUUGUGUCUGUUCUUUUUGUGGGGAGCUGCCUCAGGUCUCUCUUGCUGGCAGGCAUCUUCAGGGACCGUGCUGCGCUUUAAUGCCCCGG